UAGAUACUCAUUUGUAUAUUUUUCAACAGCAUAUUUAUCAAUGGCUUUGUGAUUAGAUGGUAUUCAACCACAAUAUGGCAUGUAGUAUUAGAAAGCAAAACUCAUAUGGAUGAUUGCUCACAGUUUGACUCAUCUUCCUUGCAUUGAAUUCAGCCAGUGGAAUAGGAAUAUCUAAAAACAGUUGGUGUAUGAAGAAAAAAAGUGGUUACAGCAAAAGUCGAGUGUUAUAAGCUCCAAUAAGGCAAAAUAUUCAUUAAUCAUCUAGCUUAGAAGAAGCCAAAGGACAUAA
rnacentral:misc_RNA from 1 species